rnacentral:lncRNA from 1 species
UCAUGACUUCAUGCAGAGGUGAUCUACAUUUGUGUAUACAAGACACACAUGGCAGCCCUGCUUCUUGCUCUUGGCUGUCUGUUUCUUCACAAACCUAGCAUGUAAGGACAGUUCAGGACUUUAGGAGCUUGCAUUUGGUGGUUAUGUCAAAAAUUCUUAGAAAGCUACAUGUGGUACUGCAUGCCUAUGGUGAAGCACUUGGAAGGUAGAGACAGAGGGAUCAAGAGUUCAAGGCCAGGGACUAAGGAGACAGCUCAGUAGUUGAGGGCCAUUGCUGCUCUUGAAGAGAAGUAGAGUUAAGCUAUGGUUGUCUGUAACUCCAGCUGUAGGUAAUUCAAUACCUUCCAGCACCUUCUUCUAGUUUCCAUAGGCACCUAUACACAUGCACACAGUAACACACAGAUACACAUACAUACACAGAAAAGUGCAAUUUUACUUUCCCUUAAGUUUUUAUUUUUUGAGAUGGGGGUCUCACUAUGUAGUCGUGGCCAGAUUAGAACUCAUAAAGAUCUCUGCCUUCUCAUGCUAGGAUUAAAAGCAUGUGCUACCACACCCAGUGGUACCGGUGGUAAAAGAAAAUCUUUACACAGUGAUGCAGAAAAUUUUAGGCCAGCCUUGGUUCUGUAAUGACUUUGAAGCCAAUCUGAGACACACUGGGGGAGGUGUGUGGGGGUGGGGUGGGGGUACGACAAGCCAUUCAGUGGUGAUGGUUGCCAGUGACAGAACAGGCAGAUGAUCUCUUGAGUUCCAGGCCAGCCUGGUCCAGAUACUGAGUUCCAAGCCAGUCAAGACUGCAGAGUGAAACUCUGUCUCAAAAACAGUAGCAACCAAAAAAAAAAAAAAAAUUUUUUUUUAAGUACAAACAAAAGGGGAUAGAGAAAUGGCUUAGAGGUUAAGAGUACUAACUGCUCUUACAGAAGACCUGAGUUCAAUUCACAGCACCCAUAUCAGGUGGCUCACAACUGUUCUUACCUGUCUUCAACCCCCUCUGGCCUGUGCAGGGACCUGUGUGGUAUACAUAAGCUUACACAGCCGCACACACAUAUAUAAAGAUAAUUAAAGAUGUGCUUUCACAUGU